rnacentral:misc_RNA from 1 species
CAAGAAGCCACAAAGGGGGAAUAAUUGUUUUCGAAAUAUAGCAGAGAUGGUGCGACAGAACGGUGCUCGAGGAGAGAGAAGAGAUGGUGGAUACAAGGGAGUGAGGAUGAGGAAAUGGGGGAAAUGGGUAGCGGAGAUUCGUCAACCAAACAGCAGAGGGAGGAUAUGGUUGGGUUCUUAUAAUACUGCUGAGGAAGCUGCUAGAGCCUACGAUGCUGCCCUUUUUUGCCUUCGUGGACCUUCUGCGACUCUCAAUUUCCCAAUGAAUCCGCCGGAUAUUCAUUUAACGACAGACCUUUCUCCGUUGCAGAUUCGGGAGGCCGCGCUUAGGCACUCCAGGAGGGGGGUUUCUGAGAUAACGGCGUCACAGGAUUUGAGUUCUCGGGUUCCGGCAUCUGGGUUGUUUCAGGAGUCGUCAGAACUGCGGGGAGAGGUUUAUUUGCCUUCUACUGAGCAUAGAGUAGAAAGUUUGGACAGGAUUUCGGGUGGUGCAUAUUAUCAAGCAUCUGGUGUGUGGACCGUUUAAUAGUGUUUUUUUUUUCUUUCUCCCUUUUUUUUUAAUACGUAUAUUUUAUAUCCCCUCCUCUUCUAUAAUAUACUGACUUUCUAGGGUCCAUCUGCUUAGAUUUCAUUUUGAGUUACACGGUGCCGGAAGGCAAGAAUUUUGUAUGGUUGUGCUUAGAAUAGAUAGCAGAGUUUGUCCAAAGGGAAGUUAUAAAGAAAAUCUUGUGCCUCGCACAGGUUCCACCAACUUUUCCCUCUUCUGAAACUGAAUUCUAUCUCCGUUAAUAUUAUGUUUC